CCCAGGAUGCCCGAGAGGCGUUUCAAAGAUGGCCGCCGAGUGAAAUGACGGCCUUUCCUCCCGUAGAAAACAUGGAAACACCAAAGACGCUCUAAUGGACAGGCUCUCUCUUUGACCGACACAUUCUUGAACCUCACAAUGCAUAGGCCUACUACAUUUUGGACCGGAUGAUGUUGCAAGUGACUGGUCUCAGUGGGACUUCUGCAAGGCAUUGCUAUUCAGGAAUGUAAUACAACAAAAGAACCCUCAUAAUCAUCCCAAACAGUCCACACACAGUUCAGACUUAGGCUGGGCUUAAAGUCUUUUCCCCUGAUUUUGCCAGGAAAUGUAGUGGCAUGGAUCCACGCAGGCAAUUGGGCUCUGACCACCGACAAAUAGCAGCCAAGUAAAAUAACAGUAAGGAGAAUGACGGUCGAAGCACCUCAAUUAAAUGGGUUUGCUCAUGAGCUGGACUCGCCAAAAGGACUCAAGCUAUAAUUUGAAUGAAAAAAUGGUUUUUCAUUCAAAGUGCUGGACAAAGCCACAAAACAUGGGGAAAGUACGGAGAAAAUGUUGUGGAGUCUGAACGGUGCCGGCUGGGUGAGGAAUGAUUAAAAAGUUGUUAAAGUUUUUCAUGUUUGGGUUGGUUGGGAUACACACUGAACACUGAUGGUGUCUAACUGGACAUGGCUGAAAGGAAACACAGGAAAAUGUGCAUUCAGACAAUAUCAGUGGACUUAUCCAAUUCAGAACUGUGCCUGAACAGUCCUUGCUAAAAGAAUGUUUUUACUCACUUUAACAUUAUUCCAAACCCUUAAGGCACCGAUAUACUUCAAGCGAAAUCAAAGAACGAACUGCUGUGAAGUCGAAAUCAGGCCAAAACGAACUUCGUUUUUGGAGUUCGAAACGAAAUGUUUCAGAAAAGUUCACUACGGAUGGUAAACACCUUUGUACUACCAUUGGUCCGUGGUGAUUACGUAAUAGGUAGGUGUGUGGAGGCUCCGCCUUCUUUCACGUGAAAGUCUUUUCUGGUUCAUUUCUCCUGUUCAGUCCAUCUCUUUCUUCUAUGGAACAUAAAAGAAGUUAAUUUUAAGAAUCUAAAUGUUUUCUUUUUCCAUACAAUUAAAAUGAAUGAG